UACGAAGGGGGCUAGCGUUGCUCGGAAUCACUGGGCGUAAAGGGUGCGUAGGCGGGUCUUUAAGUCAGGGGUGAAAUCCUGGAGCUCAACUCCAGAACUGCCUUUGAUACUGAAGAUCUUGAGUCCGGGAGAGGUGAGUGGAAUUCCUAGUGUAGAGGUGAAAUUCGAUAGAUAUUAGGAAGAACACCAGUGGCGAAGGCGGCUCACUGGCCCGGUACUGACGCUGAGGCGCGAAAGCGUGGGGAGCAAACAGG
rnacentral:rRNA from 1 species